AGAGAAGGCGAGGCUCGAGGCCGGCGGCGGAGCUCUCAGGACGGCAGGGAGGCCGGGUUGGCAGCAGCCGCUCUAUCUGCUACUGUACGGGGGCUUCAGAAAACAGAAAGCUGGCUCCAGGUCUCCGUGACAGGCUGGCACGAAUCCAGGUAGGACGAUGUAAACUCCAGGGGCUGGUGGGAAGUGUAGUUCGACUCCAAACAGCCAACGGGGGAUUGCCAGUCGCAGCGGUUGGGGCGGAGUAGGGUCGGAUCUCGACCGGAAGUGGACUGUCUCAUGGACCGGAAGGUUUGCGGGGGGGUGCUGCAGUUUCCGCCGCAGCAUCUCGGGUGUAUCCAAAUACUGCGGAGUGUGUAAUGGGUCAAGACCUCUGCUGGGCCUGGGGUGUUUUUACAGCCGUCCCUUCGGGCAAGAGUGGCCCGUAGGUCAAAGCUGAGCGACGUUCCCCUCACCUGUUUGCCUACUUCUACUCUGCGGUUUGCACUGGUCAUGGUUGUUGUUUGUUUUUUUUUUUUUUUUUGCCAUUUCUUGGGCCGCUCCCGCGAUAUAUGGAGCUUCCCAGGCUAGGGGUCCAAUCGGAGCUGUAGCUGCCAGCCUACGCCAGAGCCACAGCAACGCGGGAUCCGAGCCGAGUCUGCAACCUACACCACAGCUCACGGCAACACCGGAUCGUUAACCCACUGAGCAAGGGCAGGGAUUGAAACCGCAACCUCAUGGUUCCUAGUCGGAUUCGUUAACCGCUAAGCCACGACGGGAACUCCUGGUCAUGUUGUUUUCUAAGAAAUCCUAGUCGUCCAUCUCCGUGUCGGACCUCAGUUUCAGUGUCUAGCCGGCGCCUAACAGCAUCCUUUCUUUCUGUAUUGUUAUACUCGGUUCAUUCCCUGGUAAGUCAUAGAUCAGGAUUGGGACAACGCAAGGGCAGGGAUUGCCUCAUUCCUGCCUCAUUUCAGGUACCUCCAUGUAACACCUGCCUCAGGGAGGAUGAUGAAGGUGAAAAUAUGAAUGCAUCCCAUUUCUUAAGGCUAACUAUAGAUGAUUCACUGGACCAUGGUUUAAAAUAUGUUAUAAAGACACUAGUGUCAAAACUGUGUGGCAACAAAAAAUUUUCCCACAAGUUACUAAAAAAAAAAAAAAAAUCCAAAAAACAAAACAAGCAAAACCCUCUUUUAAUCACAGCAGUGUAGUUUGAAAUACGAGUAAAUUGAUCUGAAUAUAUGUGGACCUUGUAAGAAAAGGUAGCAUUUCAGCUUGAUCCUAGCAAAAAUUGUCUGUUCUUCUAGGAAAGAAGUAAGGUUCCUGUCUUCACG
rnacentral:lncRNA from 1 species